rnacentral:rRNA from 1 species
CAGUCGCCACGGGAAUACAGAGGGUGCGAGCGUUAAUCGGAUUUACUGGGCGUAAAGCGUGCGUAGGCGGCUAAUUAAGUCGGAUGUGAAAUCCCCGAGCUUAACUUGGGAAUUGCAUUCGAUACUGGUUAGCUAGAGUAUGGGAGAGGAUGGUAGAAUUCCAGGUGUAGCGGUGAAAUGCGUAGAGAUCUGGAGGAAUACCGAUGGCGAAGGCAGCCAUCUGGCCUAAUACUGACGCUGAGGUACGAAAGCAUGGGGAGCAAACAGGAUUAGAUACCCCUGUAGUCCCUGUCUCUUAUAC